UUGAAUUAGUUUUGGAUUUUUUGUUUUUGGAAUUAAAACAAUGUUUGUGUAGUUAAACUCAUUAGGAAAAUGACCAAAAUUUAAUGUUUCAAGAACUGCAAGGGAAAUGGAAUUACCAAUAAUGGGCCAAUACUUUUGGAAGAAAAAUGGGGACAUUGUCAGGACCAGGUGAGGUAUUUGGGUGCAUUUGUUUUAAGGCUUUGAAAUCCUGCAAGAGUUUGUUGUUCAUGUCCUCCAUCACGUCUUUCAACCGUCCCUUUGAUAGGACAUUAGUUUCAGGACCGAGCACUAAUAAAGAGGGUGUUGAAAUCAGACACAAGCUUGAAGCUCCUACAAUGUGGAAUCACACAUAGAGAGAGAGAAGGAAAAGAGAGGGAAAUUGUUGUGAAUGAUUUCGUAUAUAUAAAUAUCUGACUGCUUCCUUACAUAUCAGAAACAGAGUAACCACCAACUGACCAACAAUGAAGUCAACCAAUACAAACAUUAUAAGUGCCAGAUACCUUACUAAGUGUGCUCGGUAAACUACACCCGUUUAAUGCACUACAACUCUAUGCUACUGUAGCUGAGCACUUUUAUAUACAAACUACAAUAUAGAACUACUAAACUAAUAUCUACAAGAUAUUUUAUGCUUUAACAAAUAUCUACAAAGACUCAAAUAUCUACAAGAUAUUUAAUAGAGGGAUUGAAAUUAAUCUGAGGUAAUAUGUGCACUGUCUUCCGCCGUCUCAUACCAUAAAUCGAUAUGAUCUCUUAAGUCUGUGGAUUGCAUUUCUUCUUCUUCUUUGGCUAGUCCUUGCAUGAAAAUACCAUGUGUUAUGAUCACCUUCCUUAAGCCAUCUAAUAUGGGACAUCUAUUUCCACACGCUAUUUCUUCCUCUUCCAAUAGGCUUUAAUUUGGAACAUGCAUUACUCGGUGUUCAUUAUGUUAGGCAGGCUGGAACACAACCUCCGCCGUUUGAAUCUGAAGUAGAUUAUAUAGUUUUGAGUUUGAACAUGGUCCGCCCUCUUCUUUGCGUUUUUUUCCUUGGGAACUUGCAUUUGUUAACUUGAGUUUGAACAUGGUCCUCUUUUUAGCCUCUCACGUUUUCUUACAGAAUCUGUUUCAGUCACCAUAUUAUUUUCCACCUCACCUUCUCACUCGACCCGCUUCCAAUGUGCUAUAUAUGAAGAGCAUUAUAUAUGGGAUUUUUGAAUUGAAAUACGUCACAGAAAUUGUUUUCCUUUUCUAAUUCCACUGAUAUCUGUUUCUUCUAUUUCCCAGAGUGCAUCUCCUAGGAUUUGGGAAUUCUCAUAUUCUACUUGCACCCAAAAAGACGCAUAUUGCCAAAUAAGAGAAAUGAACAAGCAAAGGUACUAGAAAGUGCAAAUAAUUUGCUCCUUUUCUUAAGCUUGUGACCACGGAUUUGAUUCUAGUUUACACUUGAAGGAGAGUGAAAACCAAUAAUGCAUAAUUUCAUUUCUUUUAAUUUAAAAUUACAUUAAAAACCCAAAUAGAAACACCCCUUGCCUCUGAAAAGGAAAGGGACUAGGA